GAACUUACCUGGUCUUGACAUCCCGGAGACCCUUAGGAAACUAGGGGUGCUUCCAUCUGGAAGAAUCUGGAGACAGGUGCUGCAUGGCUGUCGCCAGCUCGUGUCGUGAGAUGUUGGGUUAAGUCCCGCAACGAGCGCAACCCUUGCCUUUAGUUGCCAGCAGUUCGGCUGGGCACUCUAAAGGGACUGCCGGUGUUAAACCGGAGGAAGGUGGGGAUGACGUCAAGUCCUCAUGGCCUUUAUGACCAGGGCUACACACGUACUACAAUGGCCGAUACAAAGGGCAGCGACACUGCGAGGUGAAGCCAAUCCCGUAAAAUCGGUCUCAGUCCGGAUUGGAGUCUGCAACUCGACUCCAUGAAGUUGGAAUCGCUAGUAAUCGUGGAUCAGCAUGCCACGGUGAAUACGUUCCCGGGCCUU
rnacentral:rRNA from 1 species